GAAGGACUUGCGUGCGCAUGCGUCAGCCAGAAAAGUGCGUUUUAGAAUGAUUACUGGUGGCCAGCGGAGAGACAGAUUAUACAGCUCUACACAACUGUUGUUUUAAUCCCCCGAGCGGAGAGAUUUAGCAAGGAAAAAACACUGGCUUUAAACCCAGCAGCCAUAUUGCAUGGAAAAACGACGGAAAGACUUCUCUAUUGCGAAAAAAGUCGUUUUCAGAGACACCUGUGUCAAGACUCUUGGGAACUUUAUCUCCACUUACUGGCUGUGUGGGUCUAUCGGACAGAGAGCCUGCCAGCUGGCUGAGGAAUCCAGGGAUCUGGUCUAUUUUUUUUAGCAGUUUUAAACAGUGCUGUGGUUUUCUGAUUGAUUGAAAGGUGUAAAACUAAUAAUUCCAACCAUGAAGGACCGAUUGGAGCAACUUAAAGCGACGUGUGAUCAAGAUGACGACGAGGUGGAGAUCGCUGUGGACAAUGCAGCCUUCAUGGACGAUUUCUUCUGUCAGAUUGAGGACAUCAGGAGCAGUAUAGAUAAAAUUGACGAGAAUGUGGCUGAAGUCAAAAAGCUUUUCUCGGUCAUCCUGUCUGCUCCAACAUCAGAUCAGAAAACACAAGAUGACUUGGAGGCAAUCACCAAUGACAUCAAAAAGAUGGCCAACAACGCAAGAAACAAACUCAAGACCAUCGAGAGGAAUCUGGAGUCUGAGGAGCAGGAGAGGGUGUCGGCUGACAUGCGAAUACGUAAAUCACAGCAUGCAGUGCUGUCCAGGAAGUUUGUGGAGGUAAUGACAAAGUACAAUGAAGCCCAGGUGGACUUCAGGGAGAGGAGUAAAGGACGUAUUCAGAGACAGCUAGAGAUCACUGGAAAAGCAACAACAGAUGACGAGCUGGAGGAGAUGUUGGAGAGUGGCAAUGCUGCUGUGUUUACUGCAGGGAUUGUGGACUCUGGUAUCUCUAAACAAGCCCUGAGUGAGAUUGAAGCCAGACACAAAGACAUUGUCCGUCUGGAAAGUAGCAUCAAGGAGCUCCACGACAUGUUUGUAGACAUCGCCAUGCUGGUGGAGAGCCAGGGUGAUAUAGUAGACAACAUAGAGCAGAAUGUGUCCAAAGCAGAGGAUCACAUAACAGUGGCAAAGGAACAGACCAAAAAAGCUGUAAGGUACCAGACAAAAGCACGCAAGGUAAAGUAGCUCAGCUCACUGCUGCACCAGUCUGCUUCUGACGUCUUCUGUAUUUUUUUUCCUACUUCCUUACUCGCACGUCUUUACAGUUUGACACAUUGAACACAGUGUGUGUACAGAUCACACCCUCACGCCAGGCAGACACAAUCCCAAUCACACCCAACUGUUGCAUUCUUAGUUUUUCUCUCUCCUGCUCUUGUUUUAUUUAUUUUUUCUUCUGCGUCACUUCACCACCUCUGAUGCCAUGACCCCCAUGUUAGGGAGGAAUGAUCGACAGGAUCGAGAGCAACAUGGACCAAUCAGUGGGCUUUGUAGAGCGGGCCGUAGCGGACACUAAGAAAGCUGCAAAGUUUCAGCAGGAGGCUCGCCGUGUGAGUGAAUACAGAUGGGAGCAGCAGUCCGGUUUCUCAAAAGCAGUCAUUUAAUCGUUCACAAAUGAGCCUGAGAUGAAUGCUCUUCAAAUCCAAAUGUUUGAUUGGCCUGUUUUGACACAAUGUAAUGCAAUGGCACAGCGCUGGGCAAACAAAUACAUGUGAGCGCACAGUCUUGGUUGAUAACUUCUUAACAUUAGUGACUUAUUUUUACUGUUUUCUUUUCCAUUAUGGCAAAGAGGAUAGAAAUGCUUACUUUUAACGUAACUUUUGAUGGAGAGUUGUGAAAUUCUGAUUCUCCAUGUACUAUUUCAGAAUCCUUCAAACUGGAGUAUCUAUCACUCGAACUGGCUACUCUAGAUUUGAUUAUCGGGUGUCACCAGGACUAAAAAAACAGCAAAACUGCAGCCUAUGUUUGUUAGAAGAUACACUAGCGGUCAAAAGUUUUAGAACACCCCAAUUUUUCUAGUUUUUUAUUAAAACUAUGCAGUUCAAUGUCUUAUUCUGCUCUGAAAUGAAAACAUCAAACAAAUAAACAAUUGAAUUUCAAAAAUAAAUCAUGGAAUCAAUUAAUAAACCAAAAUGUAUUCUAAACUUUUGACUCAUCGGAGUAGCCACCUUUGGCACCUUUUUCUUGCCAUUUAUUAACACAUUACUUUCUAGAGUACAAGGCUGUUCAAAUAUUGCUCACGAGGGUAUGGUACCACAGUGUGUUCCAACACUACUUUUAUGCAGACAGUGGGAUUUGGAAGUAAUCAAGGAACGUUGGGACACCUAUAAGAAUUGGUAGCACCAACUUUCAAGGCUUGACUAACCUCAAUUGCUGCAGAACAGCAACCCAUUUCUUGUUGCCUGAAAAAAGGCCUUUUCGUAUAAUUCUGAAACAUACAUUUUUCAGUUUUGGGUGAUCUUACCCUUUCUUUUUUACCUCUAGGCAGUUCACCACUUACCUUUGUACCAUUUAAAGCUAUUCAAUGGACAUGAACUGCUUGGAUUUCAAUAAAAAAGUGGAAAAAUUGGGGUGUUCUAAAACUUUUUACCAGUAGUUUAAAAAGAAAAUGCUUUUGGGAAACCUGUCUGUAAACAAGAAGAUCUCCCCCACCAUGAAGACCCUGAACGUCACUUUGAUCCUUGAUGGUUCGUGAAAUCCCUCUUACCUGUUCUGUUCCCGAGUCUCCACCACUCUGUAGCUUGUGGACCCCUGUGAUUUGAAACCCACUGACCUACCAAACCACUUGUGCACAUAAACAUACACACACUCACAUAGCAGCAGCAUCCACACUCUUUUCUUUCUGACUUUUCUCUUCAGUUUUAACUUUCACUUUUCUUACAGCUAGUUUGAAGAUAUCACAAGCUGGUGGUAGUGUGUGUGGAAUAACCUUUCUAUUUACAGAUGACCAUAAAGUCAACACUGCUGUGCCAACAGACAACAGGAUUAUCAAACUUUAGAAAAAGAAUGACACACUGAGUUUGUUAGGUUACCAAGCUACGGAAACAAUUAUUUGACAGCCACAGAACCAGCUGUUGUUUCUGUGUGCUGCCGCUCCCUCUUACAAAAGUAGUAUAAAUCCUCCUGAGACCAAGAAGAAAAAAAGUUUGAUAUUCCUUUUUUUGUUUCUAGAUAAUAUAAGUAUUGGGGUUGAAAGAAACAUAUUACAGAAAAAAAAAUUAAAUAAUGUUGUUAAUUUAAUUUUUAUCAUCUGUCCCUUGUAGCAGACAUUAGGUCUUGAUAAGUCACAGAAUGUAAUUAUAUUAUUCCAAGGAUUUGUGUAUUUCUGUUAAGAAUUAUGGUCAUUUCAUGAACAUUAAAACACUUAUAUAGUGGGAACACAUCAGAACAUUAACAUAUAAUUUUAAAAUCCAUACUCAACCCUUGAAAGUCACCCUCACUCAGCCCUCUGCUUCCUGGAGUACUGAAAUUGGUUAAACACAGAUGUAUUUAGUCCUGCUGUCCACUACAAAGGACACUGAAUGAACAUUGUGUUUUGAAAGGGUUAAAAUGACUGUACAUUUGUGACAUCUUACUAAAUUGAGUUUAAGACUCUUACAUUGAAGAAUCAAUUUGAUUAUUUACAAGAGAAACAUGAUGUCUGCAAAAAUAAUGAUCCCUCACCUCCUUUGGUGCCAUAAAAUGUGAAAGCUGAGUUUGCAGCCAUUUAAAAAAGAAAGUUCAUGUGCUCUGUUGGCCACACCCCCACAAGUGAGACAUCAUUAGAAGGCCCAGGAUGUCCUCUUCACAGGACAGUGGGGUUUUUACAGACUGCAUAUAUGGUGCUUAACUUAGAUGGCUAAAAUGCAUGUCCUCCACAGAGGACAAAAAUGAAUUGCCGGGUCUCAGGAGGAUAACUAUGUGACAUGCUGUAUUUUGUUCCACAACCAAUGCACUAAUGUAUGAAUGAUGGAUAAACUUGUUUGUCGUGAACCAUCCUGAUGUUACUGUGUGCACUUUGUUGUUCCCAACAGAAAACAGUGAUAAUAGUGGUGGUUGUGGUGAUCUUGCUGGCCUUGCUAGUUCUCAUAAUUGGGUUGUCAGUGGGAUUAAAAUGAAGCCGAUGAGCUAUUUGAACAAGAGGAGAGCUAAUGGUGAGUAACUCUGGAGCAAAUAACCUCUGUAACGCCACAAUGGGUGGGUGUAGGUGGAAGGCUUGGUUUGGAAGCUGCUUUGCAUGCUCUUUAUCUUCAGGCUCUGCAUGUUUGUGUGUUUUCUUCUUAUCCUCUGGGUUUAAGUGAGGUGUGUUUGUUUGUGUUUGAAGUUCUUGGGUGUGUGUUUUUUCUCCUAUUCUGCAGCACUUGUUCCUGGUUGCUGCUGAACUAACAAAGCACUGCUAGUGGGGAGUUAAUGGUACAAAUUUUCAGCUGGUGCUUGGUUUGCAGGUUCAAUGUCCUCACUUGAUGCGGUAUGCUCAUAAAUCCUUCACCUAAAAUCAAAUAUUAUGGGAUGGUGCGUCCCUCAGGCUGUGACAGGCAGACACAUAUUUAGCAGCCAGAAGAGCUGCUGACCCUUCCCCCAGGAGAACUGACAGUUUCUCUUCUGGGGUUAAUGUUGGGAAGUUUGGUACUAUUUUAGUAAUUUCCCUGUAGUGGGAAUCUCUUAGUAAAGAGAACUUGCUACAGUGGAGGAGGAAGUGCAUCUCUGUCUCUAUGUCCCCUGUAGAGCAGACAAAAUUCAAAUAGCUUUAUUGACAUGAAAGUUAAAACAAUAUUGUCAAAGCAGAAACAAAAUCACAUCAAUCACAAAUAAAUCAACAAGAGUUUACAACAAUUAAUAUCAAAGCUUAUUCAAGAUAAAAUAGUAUAUUCCAUAUAUUUACAUAUUAAAACAGAAUGAUAACAACAGGAUGAUUACAGUGUCUCUCUCUGUCUCUCUCUGUAGAAGAUGAUCAUCAUUGGAGCAGUCUGUGCUGUGGUUAUUCUCACCGUCCUCCUCAUUCUCACACACUUCAGCAGUAUGUUCAUCAUAUACUUCAUCCUACCCUCCAUCAGCCGUCUCAACGAAAAGAAAACGAUACUGAACACUCCGCACUAGAGGUCUAGAGCUGCAUGACCUCUGGGGACAAAAUAAUACUUAGAAGACUUGAAAAACUGUAAAACUUUGUGACCUUAGUCCAAUCAGAACAGUCCUUCCUGCUCUUUGUGGGUCUGUUUGACUCCCUGUCGUAGCUUUGACAGUUUGAGGAUGCUCUGCUGCAAAUGAGGACAUGAAAGUGAAGCAGACACAAGGUUCUACCUUUUGUAUUGCUGUGGAGGUAAAAGGGGAAUUAGGAAAAAAAAACGGACCUUAACACCUCUCGUGUGUCACCAAACAUUUCAUUUUCAAACAGUCAGUGCCAGUUUCACCAUCUGACCCUCUUGAGGCCUCAUGGAAGCACCUCCUUCAUCGUCAUUUCAUGCCUUUAUGAGCCUUGACACAUUGUGUGAUUGAAAAGCUAGCUAAUGUAGCAUCACUGUAUUGGGAUUUGUUGCUUUUGGGAAGUUCCAGCACUUUCACAUUUCAAAAUGAAUCUAAUGUAAUUAAGUUUUGAUUUUAAUGUAAAUAAGUGUAAUAUUUUUGUUCAUUUUUUGUUUAUGUUUAGCCCCUAAAUAUGGCUCAGAUUUUAAACUUGAAGAAUAUCUGUGCGAGUGGAGCUAAGAUAAGCAAGCAAGCACAAAACACAGGCCAGGGGGACUGAUAUGCAUUCCUUGCUUAAAGAUGUAACUAAAAGCUGUAACACCUGAGAGAAAUGCCAAAGUAAGCGUUUUAAAGAGUGACAGUUACAAUGCUUUACAAAAAGAGGCUCUAAAAACGUAUGAUUUUAGGCCACAUGGCCUAAAAAAAAGUUACACUAUCCUUCUCCCUGUAUGUGCCCGUCUUUGUACUUAUGGGACUUUGGUUAAUGUGUUGCUGGUAAAGUUGCACAUAUGGAAAUAAGUGUAAAUUAACACUCCAUCAUACAGGAAGGUCUCUAAUGUUGGCUCUGUAUAAACGUGAGGUUUCCAUUUUAGGUCUCACACACAACUCAAGUUUUUGCUAUUUGAGACCACAACAGUCUAUUACAACAGCUCUGCAAUAAAUCCUGCUUUGUAUUCACGUAGGUUAUAUUGUUUUGGUUUGUUAAAACAGCUUUAGACAUAUGUUAGUUAAACUUCACUGAUAAUUUUGUGGCAUUUUGUGGGGCUUUAGAAUUCCAAAAUAAUAAGAGGUGUUUCAAAUAUUUUGUCCUGCUCUCACUCAUAUGAACAGAAUAUAGAAACACCUUGCGGGACAUCUAUUUACAGAAGUCUGUUUUAUAUAACGUGUGUAAAUAAACCAAUGCAAACUAAACAGGAUGUAUUACAGUGCUGUUGUAUUAAAUUGAAAACUCAACUGAACCUAAUUCUGCAAUCACCAAAAUGAUCCAUUAUUGUCAAUCAGGAGGGGAUUCGGUAAUUUGUAGUGGUACAGUGGUAGUUUCUGUCAGACCAGAGCCUGAAUGAAGCCCACCAUGCUGGUUGUUUUUGGAACUCUUGAAAAUGAGAGCCCGCUCCCCCUCGGCCUGUUUUUAUGACCACAUAGUCAGCUCUUUUGGCUCCAGCGUUCAGUCCUAAUGUUUCUGUGAAAGUCCUGUCUUACUAAACACCACUAUAGGAGUGAGCAUAGGCUGCAAUAAGAGAAGGAGAUGCUGAAGAUGUACAGUGUUAAUGUUAAAUUAAGACACCCAUGAUUGAAUGGAAAUUAAAGAUGCUAUGGUUUUUAAUAACUGACUGGCUUUGUGUUUCUCUGUCCUGCUGCUGACAAAUUGUAAAUCUGUAACUGAAUUUUACACUUUUUGAUGACCUCUUGUUAAGGAAGAGCUGUGUGACUGUUUUUUUAAUGUGAUGUUUGUAGCUGUUGUCAGCAGAUUGCUGAUACAGUAUGUUAACCACUGUGCUGCAAAGUACCGUGGUUUAUGAGGUUGCAUAAGUGCGAAUUAGGAGGUAAGUUUGUCUUUUUCACACAUUAGUUCUCUCUAUACACACAAGUACACACAUCCUAACCUCUGUGACCUACCCCUCCUUUUACUCAGUCUUGAUCUCAAUCCAACCUUCCCGUAAAUGUGAAUCAUUGUGUAAUGUGUUAAACCAAUUUGUGUGGAUGAAAUCUUAAUUUCUUAUUCCUGCUGUUCUCUCACUUUUGUCUUCUUUUUGAUUAAACCAACAGAAAAAGAUGAUGAUUACACUGUGCUGUGCCAUCAUAGGGAUCGUUGGGUUCUCCUAUCUCUACAGCUUCUUCUCGUAAAAGGUUUUACACAGCGUUCCUGUGAUGAGAUGAUUUUAUGAAAAAAAGAACAUUUCCUGAGGUGCUCCCCAGAUUUCAUUGCCCUACUUAUCAUUUGAAUCUGCAUUAAAAUCUUAUAAGGUAUACAAAUUGAAUCUUAAUCUGUCCUGUGUUACCCUCCAUAUGACCAUUUAAAUUUGAUUCAUUUUCUCCCUGUAUGGAGUGUUUUAAAACGUGUUUUAACUGUGUACAUUUUCUCAGUCUGCUUGUAAACCAGGUGGUUCAACGUGUGUUUGAGUAUUAUUGGGAGUGUGAUUUAACCCCCCCUGGUGGCGCUUAAAAGAAACAACCAUAAAUGUAUACAGAUGUAAUAAGAAUUGUGACAUCAAUUUCGGAUUUAGUAACAUGACAGUAAUAAUACUUUAAAAUAAUGAUUGCGCCGUUUUGUUUCACUUUGUAUGCACACACUUUGCUAUGCACUACUUUAAAAUAUAGGCUUCAAGAAUAUACAUAAUUUUCUGACUUGUCUGUUGUCAUAAUUUGAUUACAUUUAGAGUGAUUUUUGUUGUGUGUGAUUUGUUUGUAUGAUAAUUUGCUGCAGAAAUGCAUGUAUUGAUGGUUUUUCUUUGAAUCGCUCACAGGCUGUCUUCCACCCAGCAAAGCCUGUUAUGUAAUAAAAUAUUUCUGUGCGUUGUA